MAAGAGUACGUGAAACCGUUCAGGGGUAAACCUGAGAAACCCGAAAGGUCGAAAGGGGAAAUUCAUUCGCGUUUCAGCUGUCGGAGUUGAGCGAUCGCGUGACGGAUAAGAGAGUUUCGGCNCCGUCUUGUCUGCGCCUUUCGUUCUUCUCACCGACGUUGAACGCGUGCACUUUUCCCCUAGUAGGACGUCGCGAUCCGUUGGGUGUCUGUCUAAGACUCGGGGUGGAGCCCACGUGGCCGAUUUCGGUCAUGUGGACCCUCGAUGUUCCGACAGACUCGCUCGACGGUAUGUUAAUGGCGCGGGGCCGCUACAUUUCAGUUAGCGUUCGGCCCGUAGCAAGCACGUUCUGUGUUUGAUGGCGAUCGGACCUGGUGCCGAUUCCGUCCCGGAACGACUGUUGGUUACGGUGUUUUCUCGAACAGACCUCGUUGAAACGCCGAUCUGCGACGCUAUAGCUUUGGGUACUUUCAGGACCCGUCUUGAAACACGGRCCCMA
rnacentral:rRNA from 1 species